rnacentral:tRNA from 1 species
GCCCAGGUGGUGAAAUUGGUAUACACGUUGGUCUUAGAAGCCAAUGUCUCGCGACGUGGAGGUUCGAGUCCUCUCCUGGGCACCA